AUCAUGCACCGUUCUCUGCCUUCAGCUUUUGUCCACUUCCCGCUUUUUCACUGUCCGUGACCAAUCCCAAGGCAGUACCUUUCUCCUGAGUUUUGUCUCAGAUGCGGCUGUUUUCCCCCCGCCCUUUAGUUCUGAAGGACCGCAGCUUAGACCAGUUCCGCCCCUCUGUGGGAGGGUCUUACUGAGCAAUGGCCGAAUGUCAGAUGCACCCAGGAAUGUUUGCAGGACCCUGCUGCUGCCGGUGCCCCGAGACUGCGGCCGGGGGCCAGCCCGCCCCAGAAAAAGUUCGUGAGAUGGUGUAGCAGCAGUUUUUCAGGGAUUAUGGAAAAUCACAACACACAUCUGGCACCAGGCUUCACCCUUAAUGACCUUGUUCCAGCACCAGCGAAUGUGGCUGUUCUCUGGGGUUUCUUGGGACCAGGUGGCCUCAACAGCCUCUACCAAAUGCCCUUCCAGCAGUGGAACCACUUUUCCUUGUGUGGCCGAAGAACCUCCUGGACCCCAGUCUGCUCCUGGGGAUUCGCCCUUCCCGCCAGAGCACCACCAGAGAUUUUCUUAUUCCUUCCUGAUUGGUUAGUGUCCUUGCAGAAGAACUCAGCCACCUGACAUGCAUUUCAGAGUGUCACAGGUUGUAACUGAUUUCCAAAGAACAGAACCUAUGUCACAGAUCAACCCCAGGAUUUGCAUGAUGAGCUCUGAAUGACCAGAGGCAUUCCCAUUAGGUUUAUUUUCCCAUCCUGCUCCAGGUUUUCCAAAUCUUGAGUGUGUAGUAGCCACUACUAACAGAACUGCUCUUUACUGGAUAUGAAAUAUUUUCACGUUAGAACAAUAUUGUUGUUAUUAUUUUCUCAGAAUUUAGCUACAGACACUGUGACUUAAUGCUUGCUGGAAGUAAUGAAGCCAAUAAGAGCCAGAGCUGAAAUUCAAACCAAAGCUGUACAUUUUAAAAUUAGUACUUUUUCUAAGACACUAGUUUGCCUUUGAAUCAGUACUUCCAACAAAGAAACUAAAAUGACUAAAAUUUUGUGAAAUCAGUUCUAUCAGAAAUUUCCAAAUAAAUUGCAACUGUCCCUAAGGAAGACAAACACUCGAGUAUAUGAAUAUAGAUCUGAGGUGUGAUCAACACCUUUUCAAUUCUGUUUGGGCGGCAGGGGAGGCAAGAAAAUUCUAAGGAGAGUUUUAAUAGUGUCUCAAGUAACUCAGGAAGAAGACAUAUUUGAUUGAUACAUUUCAUUUCAGGUGGAAUUCAGUAGUUCCGUUGAAAAUUUGACCUCACAGAAUACAGUAAGUUACAAAACCAACAUUGGUUUAUGUUGAUUUAUACUGAGAAAGGUUUUCAACAUGUACUUCUCAAAAAAAAAAAAAUGAGUUAGCUACAAUUAACCUAAUGAGUAAUAUUAGGAUGGGCAAUUUCAUCUCAUCGCUGGCAUCAUUGAAAAGACAGGAUUAGAAAAAGGACCUGAAAAUAUUAGCAAAGAUGCUUUUGGAUUAUUUUUCAAUAGUAUGGUAAAGAAACAUUUAUAAAGAAAGAAAGUUGCAGUUAACCAGUGAAUUGAUAACUUUUACGAAAAAACGUAAUUAAAGCCUUUUUAAGAUGGAGCCUGAGCAGCCUUUUCAGGGCAACUGCCUUGCAUGUCCUGUUUUCUGAAUCUUUGAACUAGGCCAAACCGCCAACCUUCCUAGAAGUCAGCAAGAACAAGAAUAUCCUGUUUGAAAAGACUGAAAAAGGUGAACUUGCACUUAGUGACCACUUUGUCAGACCAAUCGAUGAAUUACAAACCUAGCCCUGCUUGUCAGCACCAAUGAACUCUUCCCAAAAACAACUUACUAAUCUUCCUUUUAUUUCCCCAUAAAAACCCCGAGUCUAUGUCCUGUAAUUGGGACACUAUUCAGGUUUCUACCCAAAUCUGUGUACAAUUCUUUGAUCCCAAAUAAACGUUUUGCCUCUUGA